rnacentral:rRNA from 1 species
UACGUAGGGUGCGAGCGUUAAUCGGAAUUACUGGGCGUAAAGCGUGCGCAGGCGGUGAGCUGUGUCCGAUGUGAAAGCCCCGGGCUUAACCUGGGAAUGGCAUUGGAAACUGGCUCGCUGGAGUGUGGCAGAGGGGGGUGGAAUUCCGCGUGUAGCAGUGAAAUGCGUAGAGAUGCGGAUGAACACCGAUGGCUAAGUCAGCCCCCUGGGCUAACACUGACGCUCAGACACGAAAGCGUGGGGAGCAAACAGG